CACAAAUGCAUUACCAAGGGGCAAGUUUUCAGAAAUUAAAGAAAUCUUUAGGAGUUCAAGGCCGACACAUUAAGGGGGAGCAUGUUGAGAUUAAUGUGCUAGAAGAUUAAUAGUUGUUUGGAAUUUAUGUUGCUAGAAUUUAUGUUGAGUUAUUUAUGUCUUUGUUAUCUUGUUGGUGUAUGUAUCAAGUCAGUCAAAGUUAUGUUAAAUGAAGAGUUGUUGGUAUAUGUAUCCAGUC
rnacentral:lncRNA from 1 species